CAUGGGGUGCAAACGUUGCUCGGAAUUAUUGGGCGUAAAGCGCACGUAGGCGGUUCGUUAAGUCGGAUGUGAAAGCCCUCGGCUCAACUGAGGAAGUGCACCCGAAACUGGCGAGCUUGAGUACGAAAGAGGAUCGCGGAAUUCCCGGUGUAGAGGUGAAAUUCGUAGAUAUCGGGAGGAACACCGGCGGCGAAGGCGGCCCCCUGGGCUAGCACUGACGCUCAGGCACGAAAGCGUGGGGAGCAAACAGG
rnacentral:rRNA from 1 species